ACCUACGGGGGGCAGCAGUGGGGAAUAUUGCACAAUGGGCGAAAGCCUGAUGCAGCAACGCCGCGUGAGUGAAGAAGGCCUUCGGGUUGUAAAGCUCUGUCUUUUGGGACGAUAAUGACGGUACCAAAGGAGGAAGCCACGGCUAACUACGUGCCAGCAGCCGCGGUAAUACGUAGGUGGCAAGCGUUGUCCGGAUUUACUGGGCGUAAAGGAUGCGUAGGUGGAUAUUUAAGUGGGAUGUGAAAUACCCGGGCUCAACUUGGGUGCUGCAUUCCAAACUGGAUAUCUAGAGUGCAGGAGAGGAAAGUGGAAUUCCUAGUGUAGCAGUGAAAUGCGUAGAUAUUAGGAGGAACACCAGUGGCGAAGGCGGCUUUCUGGACUGUAACUGACACUGAGGCAUGAAAGCGUGGGGAGCAAACAGGAUUAGAUACCCUGGUAGG
rnacentral:rRNA from 1 species